AGUGGGUGCUUUGUUCUUUGUUACAGCGGAACAAGGCGACAUGAACAUGGAGAACCAUCGCGGCACCAACGCAGAGCCAGCCGUUCAACGCACCCUCUUGGAGAAGUAGAAGACAGCUGGCCACCAGCAGCCGGGCGUGCGUGGCCGGGACCCACCACCUCCCCGAGGCUCCUCCCUGGAGAUCGCCCACCGGGCAGGGCGGACAUGCAAGCGGCCUCCUCUGCUCCUUCGUCCUUCGUCCCGGGAGGUGCCUUGUCUGCUGCCGUGCAGGGGACACGGAGUUUACUGAUGAUGGGUUUGACAGCCACAUGCAGACUGGGGUCCCAUCUCCAAGGCCCUGGGGGGGUCCCCAUGUGAUGUGAAAGGGUGACCAUUACCAGGUCCUGCAAAUUCAAAGAUCAGCCCCUCCAGAGUCCCCUGGCCUGGAACUCUGGAUACAUCCUGGGUCGUUUGAACCCAUCCCAGAUGUCCAGAGCAGCACUGACCAUUGUAUGGAAUGGAGUAAGCCUUAGAUUCGUUUUUAUACAGUCCUGCAUUCGUCCAUUGGCAUUGUUUUUACCUUUUUUUCAAAUGAGACUAAUAAAAAGAAAUUAGAAACCAA